rnacentral:rRNA from 1 species
GACGAACGCUGGCGGCGUGCCUAAUACAUGCAAGUCGAGCGAACUUGCGGGAGCUUGCUCCCAAAAGUUAGCGGCGGACGGGUGAGUAACACGUGGGCAACCUGCCUAUAAGACUGGGAUAACUUCGGGAAACCGGAGCUAAUACCGGAUAAUUCUUUUCUACUCAUGUAGGAAAGCUGAAAGAUGGUUUCGGCUAUCACUUAUAGAUGGGCCCGCGGCGCAUUAGCUAGUUGGUGAGGUAACGGCUCACCAAGGCGACGAUGCGUAGCCGACCUGAGAGGGUGAUCGGCCACACUGGGACUGAGACACGGCCCAGACUCCUGCGGGAGGCAGCAGUAGGGAAUCUUCCGCAAUGGACGAAAGUCUGACGGAGCAACGCCGCGUGAGUGAUGAAGGUUUUCGGAUCGUAAAACUCUGUUGUUAGGGAAGAACAAGUACUAGAGUAACUGCUAGUACCUUGACGGUACCUAACCAGAAAGCCACGGCUAACUACGUGCCAGCCGCCGCGGUAAGAC